UACGUAGGAUCCGAGCGUUGUCCGGAUUUACUGGGUGUAAAGGGCGCGCAGGCGGCCUGGUAAGUCAGAGGUGAAAUCUCGCCGCUCAACGACGAAACUGCCUUUGAUACUAUCAGUCUUGAAUCCGGUAGAGAUCUGUGGAAUUCCGAGUGUAGCAGUGAAAUGUGUAGAUAUUCGGAAGAACACCAGUGGCGAAGGCAGCAGAUUGGGCCGGUAUUGACGCUCAGGCACGAAAGCAUGGGGAUCAAACAGG
rnacentral:rRNA from 1 species